CAGGGAAUUUUGCGCAAUGGGCGAAAGCCUGACGCAGCGACGCCGCGUGGGCGAUGAAGGCCUUCGGGUUGUAAAGCCCUUUUCUGGGGGAAGAGAGAGGACGGUACCUCAGGAAUAAGCGUCGGCUAACUACGUGCCAGCAGCCGCGGUAAUACGUAGGACGCGAGCGUUAUCCGGAUUCACUGGGCGUAAAGCGCCUGCAGGCGGUUUCGUAAGUUGGGUGUGAAAGCCCCAGGCUUAACCUAGGGAGGCCAUUCAAUACUGCGGAGCUUGAGGAGGGGAGAGGGAAGCGGAAUUCCCGGUGUAGCGGUAGAAUGCGCAGAUAUCGGGAGGAACACCAGUGGUGAAGGCGGCUUCCUGGCCCGUUCCUGACGCUCGGAGGCGAAAGCUAGGGGAGCAAACAG
rnacentral:rRNA from 1 species